rnacentral:misc_RNA from 1 species
GUCUGCAGGACACAACAUACGACAGUUCAGUCAACUUUUCAAUAACAUCAUGUAUCUUAGCUAUGAUCUUGUGUUGGAAAUGAUGUUUACAAUAAAACUCGAGGAACCUGUUGUUCACAAUAAAUUAAACAAAUUAAUAAUUUCUUUUAAAGUCACACUGUCCCGUUGACCAAAUAAUUGACACACUUUUCAGUGGAACUACUUUCUACCAAGAAAUGUUCCCUUUCCAGCAUCACAGGGGUCGGACACUCACUGAUGAGAGGCGUCCCCCUGGUGAUGGGCAGCAGGUUGUUCAUGAUGAGCAGGAUGAGGGUCAUCUUGAAGGAGGAGCGGAUUGGGGCCCAAUAAUACUCAAGAUUAGCCGUAUGAUACAUCUUACUGUGUGGU